UACGGAGGGGGCUAGCGUUGUUCGGAAUUACUGGGCGUAAAGCGCACGUAGGCGGACUGGAAAGUCAGGGGUGAAAUCCCGGGGCUCAACCCCGGAACUGCCUUUGAAACUCCCGGUCUUGAGGUCGAGAGAGGUGAGUGGAAGUCCGAGUGUAGAGGUGAAAUUCGUAGAUAUUCGGAGGAACACCAGUGGCGAAGGCGGCUCACUGGCUCGAUACUGACGCUGAGGUGCGAAAGCGUGGGGAGCAAACAGG
rnacentral:rRNA from 1 species